rnacentral:rRNA from 1 species
ACCGAACUGGUAAACGUUGAAAAGUUUUCAGAUGAACUGUGGGUAGGGGUGAAAGGCCAAUCAAACUGGGAAAUAGCUCGUACUCCCCGAAAUGCAUUUAGGUGCAGCGUAUACAUAGUUUUAUAGAGGUAGAGCUACUGAUUGGAUGCGGGGGCUUCACCGCCUACCAAUUCCUGACAAACUCCGAAUGCUAUAAAAUGUUUGUAUGCAGUGAGGGCAUGGGUGCUAAGGUCCAUGUCCGAGAGGGAAAGAACCCAGACCAUCAGCUAAGGUCCCCAAAUGAUAGUUAAGUUGAAUAAACGAGGUUGGAUUGCACAGACAGCUAGGAUGUUGGCUUGGAAGCAGCCAUUCAUUUAAAGAGUGCGUAACAGCUCACUAGUCGAGCGAUCGUGCGUGGAUAAUAAUCGG